rnacentral:rRNA from 1 species
AUUGAACGCUGGCGGCGUGCCUAACACAUGCAAGUCGAGCGGCAGCGGGCCCGCAAGGGUGCCGGCGAGCGGCGGACGGGUGAGCAAUACAUAGGAAUCUGCCUUAGAGCGGGGGAUAGCCAGGGGAAACCCUGAUUAAUACCGCAUGAUGUCGAGAGACCAAAGUGGGGGAUCGUAAGACCUCACACUCUAAGAUGAGCCUAUGUCGGAUUAGCUAGUGGCGGGGUAACGGCCCACCAAGGCGACGAUCCGUAGCUGGUCUGAGAGGACGAUCAGCCACACCGGAACUGAGACACGGUCCGGACUCCUACGGGAGGCAGCAGUGGGGAAUAUUGGACAAUGGGCGAAAGCCUGAUCCAGCGACGCCGCGUGGGUGAAGAAGGCC